UCAUAGAAAUGUUACAAGCAUAUGGAAAGCACUCAAAAACGGAGGAGUGUUUGCAUAUGACUUCAUUUUUUUGCCAGACAGGUUUUGUCUGCAAGCAAAUCUAGGAUCCACUUGCCAAUUGACUUCAAUUUUGGGACACUUCUGGCCAGUGAGAGUGCCUGUGCACCUCAACUUUGCUAAGCAUAGAAUCGGAGAAGAAAGUGAACGCAAGGUAUCCACUGAAUCCGACCAGUUUUCCUUCAAAGAAGAAAACAAGGAGGCAGAGUGUAACAUCUUGCGACAAAUGUGUGUUUAAGGAAAGUCAUGGCAGGGAGAUCCACUUUCCACAUCAUUCAAUUUUGGGACAUGGCCUUCCAGUGAGAGGACCACUGCGUCUUAACUUGCUGAGGUAGAUGUUCGUUGUAUUGGAAAGUGUGCGGAAGGUAUGUCAGAACUUUUGACGUUCGUCAGCAAGACCUAAGUUAAGUGCAUUUGUUCAAAAGUUGAAGAAGGAUA